rnacentral:rRNA from 1 species
UACGAAGGGGGCUAGCGUUGUUCGGAAUUACUGGGCGUAAAGCGUGCGCAGGCGGCCAUCCAAGUCAGUGGUGAAAGCCCGGAGCUCAACUCCAGAACUGCCUUCGAUACUGGAAGACUUGAGUCCGGGAGAGGUGAGUGGAACUGCGAGUGUAGAGGUGAAAUUCGUAGAUAUUCGCAAGAACACCAGUGGCGAAGGCGGCUCACUGGCCCGGUACUGACGCUGAGGUGCGAAAGCGUGGGGAGCAAACAGG